rnacentral:rRNA from 1 species
CUACGGGAGGCAGCAGUGGGGAAUAUUGGACAAUGGGCGCAAGCCUGAUCCAGCCAUGCCGCGUGAGUGAUGAAGGCCUUCGGGUUGUAAAGCCCUUUUGUCGGGGACGAUAAUGACGGUACCCGGAGAAUAAGCUCCGGCUAACUUCGUGCCAGCAGCCGCGGUAAUACGAAGGGAGCUAGCGUUGUUCGGAAUUACUGGGCGUAAAGCGCACGUAGGCGGACUAUUAAGUCAGGGGUGAAAUCCCGGGGCUCAACCCCGGAACUGCCUUUGAUACUGGUAGUCUCGAGUCCGGAAGAGGUGAGUGGAAUUCCGAGUGUAGAGGUGAAAUUCGUAGAUAUUCGGAGGAACACCAGUGGCGAAGGCGGCUCACUGGUCCGGUACUGACGCUGAGGUGCGAAAGCGUGGGGAGCAAACAGGAUUAGAAACCCUGGUAGUCC